AAAUUGAAGAGUUUGAUCAUGGCUCAGAUUGAACGCUGGCGGCAGGCCUAACACAUGCAAGUCGAACGGUAACAGGAAACAGCUUGCUGUUUCGCUGACGAGUGGCGGACGGGUGAGUAAUGUCUGGGAAACUGCCUGAUGGAGGGGGAUAACUACUGGAAACGGUAGCUAAUACCGCAUAACGUCGCAAGACCAAAGAGGGGGACCUUCGGGCCUCUUGCCAUCGGAUGUGCCCAGAUGGGAUUAGCUAGUAGGUGGGGUAACGGCUCACCUAGGCGACGAUCCCUAGCUGGUCUGAGAGGAUGACCAGCCACACUGGAACUGAGACACGGUCCAGACUCCUACGGGAGGCAGCAGUGGGGAAUAUUGCACAAUGGGCGCAAGCCUGAUGCAGCCAUGCCGCGUGUAUGAAGAAGGCCUUCGGGUUGUAAAGUACUUUCAGUGGGGAGGAAGGGAGUAAAGUUAAUACCUUUGCUCAUUGACGUUACCCGCAGAAGAAGCACCGGCUAACUCCGUGCCAGCAGCCGCGGUAAUACGGAGGGUGCAAGCGUUAAUC
rnacentral:rRNA from 1 species